ensembl:lncRNA
AUGAGGCAGCAGGGUAUGAAAGCUGAGGUGGUUAAUGGGGACAGGGAGAGGCUAUGGGGCACACAGUAUCUGGGGCAGGUGGAGGUCUGUGGGGUCAGGCUAAGGUGGAGUAGGGUGUGCAGGAGCUCUACUUCCAAGCUGAGCAGGGUAGCAGCUGGUCCAACUGUGUGUGCCCACAGGAAAUCAGAGACGCUGGAGGCCUUCCAGGCUCUGGAGGAGGGCCGUGUGGAGCGGCUCGAUGGCAAGACACCAGUGCCACCCAGCAAAGGCCACCUAACUCGGAGGCGAUCCAGCCCCAACCUGCCCAGGGAGGGUCAGCGACUCUCCUGGCAGCUCGAGCAGCGCAGCAGAGACCCCAAGGAGCGCCGGCGUUCCCCCAGCCCAGCUCAGCACCCCGAGAAGGCCAGCAGGACCCGGGGGGACUCCCCACGCCCUGCCAGCCCUGGCUGGCUGCUGGAGAGAGGCAGCCAAAGCCCACGCUCUGCAAGCCCAGCCCGCAGGUCGGAGAGGAGAGCAGGGGAGCCCGUGAACCCUCCCUGUCGCACUGAGAAAAGCUGGAGAAGUCGAGGGGAGCCUGCCCGCCCCCCAAACUCGAACAGGGGCCGAGCCACCUGGCAAGCAGGGGGUAUACGGCAAACACUGGAGAAGAAGAGCCAAGGGGAUUCCCUGCGCUCCACAGGUGCUGGGAAGCGCUCAGAUAAUGUCAGACUGAGCCGGGCAGCGCCACCACCAUGGGCCCUCAGUCCUGGGAGACGUACAGAGAGCACAAGGAAAAGCCAAAAGGAGAUGUCCCCUCCCAGCUUGGUGCGGGGGGCAGAGAGGCAACGAGUGAAGCCAGGGGAGCCACUGCACCUUGCAGGGCCGAGGAAGCCACCCGAAUGCAGCUGGCAGAGCCUCCGGGAAAAGCUGACAUCCUCCCAGCCUGGAAAGGGCACCAGCAGUGACUGCAAAGGCCGAGGCAAGCCCCUGCGCCCCACAAGCCCAACACGACCCCAGGAGCAGGACUGGAGGGGCCGGGGGGAUGCCCACCAAGCACAGGUGUGGGAGAAGGACUGGAAGCGCCAAGAGAUUCCCGUGUGCCAUGCAGGUGUGAUGCGCCAGCUGGAAAGGGACUGGAAAAGCCCUGCUAGAUGUCUGGAUGUGGGACUACGGCCGGAUGACAGCUGGAUAAGGCCUGAGAGUCCAGUACAGGAUCUGGAGGAGAACUGGAACGGUCAUGAGCAUGCACGAGAUACACACAGCCCUGAGAAGCCAUUGGAAACUGACUGGGGGAACAAGAGUCUUCUCAUUUACCAUCCCCAGCUGGGUGGAAGCACCUUCCCACUGCAAAGCAGCACUGGCUCCUCAGGAAGCCCGCAGCCACAUUUGAAUGUCAGUAAGAAGCGCAACAAGGUAGGGGCCAGGCCCUGGGAAUUGUGAGGAUGGGCAGCUGCCCUUCUGUGGGGGUCACUGUGGGCAGGACCUAGGUCCCCAGGACUUGAUCUGAGCAGGUCCAGCAUGGUGCUGCCAUCCCGUGAUGCCCUGAACACCAUGCUCACUAACACUCCCCAUCACUUUGUCCUUCACCCAUUUCUCAGGUGGGGAAACUGAGGCACGGAGCCUUUUUAUAAAGCCAGAGGAGGGCAAACAGUAGACCUGGGACUGAAAUCUCAGUACAGCUACUUUCCUUUGCUUUAUUAUUGGCCAGUGCUGCGAUGGCACAGAGGGUUUUACAGGGAUGAAGUGGGCUUUAGUGGUGUGAAAGAAGAUAUAGUGUAUUGUGUUGGCAUUCCUGUAAAAUGGCAUUUUGCAGCAGCUAUGGGGGGCUGCAGAAAGUAUUCCGGGAGCCCGUGUAGCAGGCAGCUGCACACAAGUUCCUGCCUCUGUCCCCCACUGUGCACAUCAGUCAUCUCAGCCAGGUCAUCCUCUGCUAGGACCUGGCUUUGUUCUUUAUACAAGGACAAACUGCAGCCAGGAAAGAGGCUGUCAAAGGCCUCUGAAACUUGAAACGGGUGACAUCCUUUCACUCCCUUCCCUGCAUCAGGCCAGAGAGGAGUCCAAAGCCCUGAACUCACCCCGUACAACUGGGCCAGAUCGCCCCACCUGUGCCAUGUUUCUUUCUGUGCCAGCACUGAGCUCUGGCACCUUCCUUUUGCCUUGCGGUAAAAAGCAUCACCUUGGUGUGAUUGCACAGUAGAGCCUGGCAUGUUGUGAUGCACAGCCCCUCUUCCCUUUUCCUUUGGGACCCUCUCUAGCAAUUCCCUUUCUCGAGGCCAGCUGGCGUGGCAUUCCAGGGGCACCAGAAGUCUCCCCAUGACCUCCUACCACCCCUGCCACAAGCCCAGAGAUGUGCAGUUGGUUGGACAAAAGCGAGCAACCCGAGGAGCCAAGGCGAGGACUCCAUUGUGUGCGCUGCUGAAAAUCCCUGCCAGCGAAAAAUCCCAGCCGGAGAGAGCAAACCCUGCCUGGAUAAGGGCUGGGCUCCUGGCAGUCCCUUCCUGAGGCAGCAGCGGCUGAACCCGUCCCUCCCAGGGCUUCACCUUUUCCCGGGCCAGCGGGGCGGGAAGGGGACACGGCUCAGCCCCAGCAUCGUCCCCGUCCCGUCCC